CUUGAUUUAACUGGAAUUUUGUAACCUGAAGCUUAUUGUCAUCAAAUUUUUUCUAAAUGUUAUUUAUUUUUUAGAGGAUGAUUUGUGCUAACUUGGGAUAAUAGUAUGUAAUAGGGAAUAAACUGGUUUUAAAUACCUGUCAGUAGCUGAAUGAAAAAAAAAGUAUGGGGUCAACUGUACCCUAAGUGCUUCAAAGCACAAAUAAGACAUUUUGGGUUGUACCUGGGCCCUUGAACUCCUUUCUUGGACCAACAGGAAACAAUUAUUUUCACCCACAAAGGAUACAGACCUGUAAACCCAAUAAAGUUUUCUCUAUACUAACGUUGAGAGGGGUAAAUAUUAAAUAAAUCUUUUUCAACACUUAAAGGGACUGGUAAAGAUUCUUCUCCAGCUGGAAGAAUCUUUUGCAGGGCCUUUCCCCCAGAAUCCGAGUUUCCCUGUAAUCUCUGUGUUAUAAUUUUCUGCCUUGAUCCAGCUUCACAUUUCAAAUUCUUGAUAAUGUAAAUAACCAAAGGACAGGAAAAUAGAACAGUGACUGAAAAUAAGUUAAAACGUGCUGGAAUACUUUGUGAUUAAAAUACAAUAAAGUUUAAUAAUGAUGUUGAAAGAGGCCUGAGUAUGGCAAGUGAGUAAUGGGAAACCUGACAGUUCUUUCCUCUGAUUUAGAGCAUCUGCAGUGAUCUGUGGCAGCAUUUCUGUAAAUACCUUACUAAUGAUGAUUACUGUGCUGGUUACAGUGAGGUUAAUGUUUCUAUGAAGACAUACACAAGGUCAAAUUAAAUAAAGGUGGUCCAUAAUUGGAUAUCAUAACACCUGUAUUUAUUGCCAAUAACUUUAUUAAUAUUCCCUGAUUUGAUAAAGACAGGGAAGUAAAAAUAGGACAAUUAUAACCUUCUAGGACAAUUGCUUCAUUUUUUUUUCCUUCAUUUUACUUAUCAUCUAGGGGCUAGUGGUACCUUUUUAAAAGCUUAUGAGAUGCUUGAUCCCCUCCAAAUCUUGUAUUUAUAGUCACUUUCACAUUCUACACUGUACAGUUAAUGAUGCAAUUAGAUCAGAGUCAGAGACUGAGUCCCAUUGACGUUUUAAGGUAAGAUCUUCCAGUGUGUGGCAUGCCAUUAUCUAAUACACCCUUCCACAACAGCUGGCUCAGGCUUAGCAUUUUCCAAACACAAAGACAAACACAAAACUAUAAAACUCUGCAAAAAUCUCCACUAUUUUAUAUGGAGUGACAAAGCUUAGAAGAGAUAUGAAGAAGCACAUAGAAGCUUGUAAAUGUCACACACUGAAAAUCCAAGGGUGUUGAGUUAGUUGCUGGUGUUCCUCUUUCUGUAACAGUAUUAAACACUUGCCAAUCUACACACAGUUCUGUGACAUAGACACCAUUUUUCUUCAAUAGCAGUUGUUAAAUCACUAUCAUCUGCCACUUAUGCCAAAUAUAACAUAGUUAUGGCUAAAACAAAAAGUGAAUUAGAUCCUUACACUCGACUAGCAAUUACAAUGAUAAAAAAAAAUUAUUACUAAAUUCCAAUUCCAGGUUACUAAGACUCAUGUCAGUCUCUCUACAUAGCAUGAUUGAUAACUCUAUUGCUCAAGUCAGAAGUAGGAAUUCAUUUUUAUAAAGCCCCUACUUCCUUCUCCACUCCCACUACAUGACAUCCAUCAUUAAGAAGAGUAUUCUCAAUCAUAGCUCUUUAAUAUUCAUUAGUUUACUCCUCUCCAUCACGAACAGCAGUAAUUUAUUGGAGCCUUCAAUUUUCUCCCUUGAAUUACACAGUCAUUCCAUGGUAUUCUACCUGCCUAGAAUAUUGAUCCAUCUCCCAGGGGCAGAAUGGAGAGUUGGUUUGAAUCUCAGCUCUAUCACUUUCUAAUUCUGUGAGCGUAUUCAUUUGUUAACUCAAAAGAUAUUAAAAUACAGCUAGGAUGUAGAAUGCAUGAGGCCUGGGAUUCAAUUAUCAGUACUGCAAAAAUAUACAUAUGUGUACAUUAACCAACAGAAUAUAUCAGUAUUAUUAAUGUAUAUAUUAAUAACAUAAUGAAAAAAUUAGAUAGUGUUAUGUGCACGCCUAUCAUGAUAUCUAAUAUAAUCUCAAAUGUUGAAUAAAUUAGGUUACAUUUUAAGCCAUGCUGCCCUUAUGUGGUAUUUAAGUACUUGAAUAUUGACUAUUCCAAAUUAAGAUUCACCUAAAGAUUAAAGUGCAUACCAGAUUUCAAAAAGGUGUUGUGAAAUUAAUGAAGUUUUACAUCAAUUACAUGUUAGAAUUAUCAUUGGAUACAUAGAGCUAAGUAAAGUAUUAUCUAAAUUAAUUUUUUUCUUUUUUAUAUUUUUGGUAUAACCACUAGAACAUUUAAGAUGACAUGUGUAGCUGACAUUAUACUUCUCUUGGACAGUGCUAAGUUAGAGGAUGUCAUUUAACUUUUUUUACUCGUUUAUUCCCUCCCUUGCAAAUAGGUACCAAAUUACAUAUAGGUCUGUCAAAAUGAUGUAGGACCUGAAAUCUUUCUGUAAGUUGAUCCUCUUGACCCCAUGAUUAGAAGCUUCACAAUGUGGUACCACACCUGGAAACCUCCAGAGCAAGAUCUCAAGGAAACACAGGAAAUUCCUGGGAACAGCAAAACAUCCUACUUGAAGACAUUGAGUUAUUCCUCUGUGUAUCAGGAGCAUCAUUGUUAAUUAACUGUUCAUGUGCUUGAAAGAGUUUGCUUGGCAAUGGCCUUUGUGAAGAAAGAACAGUGAGGUGUAUUAUUCAGGAUGCACUGGAUAAUGCUGUCACAAUGUGUUAAGCUAGACCUCUUAUUGCCUUAGCAAAUGUUUAGUUCUUAUUCCUGCAAAUGCUGGUGCAAGAUGGUUGGCUCUCCAGACAGCAGUUGAUCUUGUGAAUUAGUCAUCUCAGCAUGUUUCUCCAAGAGACCACAGCAGGGGAAUCGAGAAGGGGAGGGUCACAUACUUGAUCUUAUAUAUUCUGAUGCAGAAGUGAUAGGUGUUAUUUCUGCUCACAGCUCCUGGGCCUGAACAGUCAUGUAUAAUUUCAAAAGGACUAGAAAAUACUCUGGAGCAUAUGCUACUUGGUGAGUUGCAAAUGUCUCUAUUAUAUCAAGCUAUGAUAAACUUUGAAUUUGCUUCUAACAGAUAUAGUUCACACCACUAAAUUACAUAUCUUGAAUCUUCUUUGAAUCCUAUGUUGGUAUUUUCUAGAAUAGUAUCUAACAUAGAGUAAGCAUUCAAUAAAUAUGCUCAAAAGACCAUUUAGAUCUUCAAUUUUCACUUUAUCAUGAAAUUUUUGUUACCAUGCAUCCACUGUUACCACAUCAGGAAUGUGUAACUGCAAAUACAACUGCAAAGAAAUUUUACCUGAUAAGAUACUCAUUCUGCCUUCAAUAUUUUUAGUUUUAUUUGGAUGAGGGUUUUUUGGUUUUGGUUUUGAUUGCGGGGGGUAGGGGGUGGUGGUGGUGUGCAUGUGUGUGUAGAAAUUUUGGCUUUGUUUUCUUCUCUAGAGAAGGGUUUCAUUCUCAAUCCUCAUUGGCAUUAGAACAACAGUUGUGUACAUAUGCAGUGACAAUGGUUCAAAUUCUUUGGGGAAUCUGCCAGGAAGUGUCUGACAUCAAGUUAUACCACCAAUGUCUAUUUGUGUAAAUCAUAUUUAUAACUUUCAAGUAUGAUAUUUUAUUUUUGAUGAAUUCUGUAGGUUCUGUAAGAGUUCCUUGCAUGAACUGUGAAGAGGAGACCUUGAAUUGUGUCUCGUCACUAUCACUUUGAUUGUGACCAAGUUAAUUAAUAUUUUUGUGUUUAGGUUUCCUCAUCUUUCAAAUAAAGAUGUCUAUUUAUAUUGCUUCAUAUUGCUAAUUAUAUUAUAUAUAAUUCAAAUGAUGUAUUUCAUAUGUGUGUCUAUAGUAUUCUUAAUAUGGUCAUUUUUAUGAACAUUAUCAUUAUCCAUCCUCUGGCCCACAUUCUGUCUAAAAUGAAGUCACCUUCUGUAUAAAACAAGCUGGUAAGAAAAUUUUGGAAUAUUUAUUUGUAUCUAUUCAUUCCCCAUUUUCCCCAAUAAACACUAAUAUCUUGAGAAUUCCUGUCUAAGAUAUAGAUACAACAUAAAUAUAUAUUGAAUGAGUAAAUAAUGUUCUAAUGACAAAUGUAACUUUAGUAUCUCAACAUUUUAAUAUAAAUCAGAUGUUUAGAUUGCACAUAUUUCAGUUGACUUUUCUACUUGUUUCAAAUUAAGAUCAAAAAAAUUGUCAGCAUGUAAAAUCUUGAAUGUGGAAUGAAUAAUAAA
rnacentral:lncRNA from 1 species